CCUACGGGCGGCAGCAGUGGGGAAUAUUGGGCAAUGGAGGAAACUCUGACCCAGCAACGCCGCGUGAAUGAUGAAGGUCUUCUGAUUGUAAAGUUCUUUUCUAAGGGAAGAAGAAAGUGACGGUACCUUAGGACUAAGCCUCGGCUAACUACGUGCCAGCAGCCGCUGUAAUACGGAGGAGGCGAGCGUUAUCCGGAAUGACUGGGCGUAAAGGGUGCGUAGGUGGUUUGGCAAGUUAGUAGCGUAACUCCAAGGCUCAACCUUGGAACUACUACUAAAACUGUUGGACUGGAGUGCAGGAGGGGCAACCGGAAUGUCUAGUGUAGCGGUGGAAUGCGUAGAUAUUAGGAGGAACACCAGUGGCGAAGGCGGGUUGCUAGACUGUAACUGACACUGAGGCACGAAAGCGUGGGGAGCAAACAGGAUUAGAUACCCGAGUAGUC
rnacentral:rRNA from 1 species